CCCAGUCUCCCCUCCGCCCUGGUUCCCUACUCCCCUCGGGUCAGCGGCUGCGGCCUGGCCCUGGGAGGGAUUUCAGAUGCCCCUGCCCUCUUGUCUGCCACGGGGCGAGUCUGGCACCUCUUUCUUCUGACCUCAGACGGCUCUGAGCCUUAUUUCUCUGGAAGCGGCUAAGGGACGGUUGGGGGCUGGGAGCCCUGGGCGUGUAGUGUAACUGGAAUCUCU
rnacentral:lncRNA from 1 species